AUUGAACGCUGGCGGCAGGCCUUACACAUGCAAGUCGAACGGAGUGGCGAACGUUUUAUUAAUGCAUCUGACUGUACCUUGUGGAUGGGGAUAACUAUUGGAAACUAAUGCUACUACCGCAUAUUAUUGGAUCGGCCGAUGUCGGAUUAGCUUGUUGGUGGGGUAAAGGCACACCAAGGCGACGAUCCGUAGCGGGGCUGAGAGGAUGAACAGGCACACUGGGACUGAGACACGGGCCAGACUCCUACGGGAGGCAGCAGUGGGGAAUAUUGGACAAGGGGCGAAAGCCUGAUCCAGCCAUGCCGCGUGUGUGAAGAAGGCCUUCGGGUUGUAAAGGACUUUUAGCUGGGAGGCGUUACCAGCAGAAUAAGCACCGGCUAACUCCGUGCCAGCAGCCGCGGUAAUAC
rnacentral:rRNA from 1 species